rnacentral:rRNA from 1 species
AGAAGGUGACACUCCCGUCCGCCUGGCAGAGUGAGUCAUUUGUCAACGAGUCGAGUUGUUUGGGGUUGCAGCUUUAAUUUGGUGGUAAACUCCAUCUAAAGCUAGAUAUUGGUGGGAGACCGAUAGCGUACAAGUACCGUGAGGGAAAGAUGCAAAGAACUUUGAAAAGAGAGUUAAAGAGUACCUGAAACUGCUGAAACGGAAGCGAAGGAAACCAGUGUUUGUUUGUUCAUAUUUCCCUAGCCACUUGUGGCUUGGGCGCUGUGGGCUUGCGUGAGUUUGGGUUGGUUGAUUCCUUUGGAAGAGCGCAGUCAGAGUUGAUGUCU